rnacentral:pre_miRNA from 1 species
GGCCUCCCUCUGUGGGGUGAUUGAUGGCAGGGCCCCCCGAUGGAUCACCCCGCAGAGGGAGGCC